rnacentral:lncRNA from 1 species
AGCUUUCAUGACUAUAUCUUUGACAUAUUUCCAUUGGAUAGGAAAAUUGUUAUUUUUCAUCUUAACAGAGGCAAUGAUAUUUUUAUAUUUAUCAUAGAUAAUGCAGGUAUCUCCAUUAAAAUAUAGAGAAUACCCACUUUGUAUCAUUUGGCCCACACUUAAGAGAUUUUGUGCAAGACGAGGGACUAGAUAUACAUUAUGUAUAUAUUUUGGGCCUUUAUUUGUUUCCACGGUGAUGGUGCCUUUUCCUUUGACAUCUACUAAUGCACCAUUGCCCAACUUUACUUGGGAUUUCACCGACUUAUCAAUAUCAGUGAAUAUAGAUUCGUCCC